rnacentral:lncRNA from 1 species
UAUUUUUGUGUAAUUCUCCCUAUUAUUAUUUUCGGAGGAUAUCUAUCAAAAAGCAAUCACAAAAACAGAGUCAACGAUGGGUGAGCAGGUGGUCAAGUGGCUUCAACGGUGACCUUUUUAAAGGAAACCCUAGAUUCUGAUUGAACCUUAGAAUAUCAGAUAUAUAGCUAUUACACUUAUCAUUUAGCAAAGACCCACAAAAGAGGGUCUCAAGGGCUGCAAGGAUUCAUCGACUCCGACAUCGGAGUUGCAGCACCCCCACCCACCCCCGUACCCCAAAUAUAUCUCAGGCAUCAUCCUCAUUCUCUUUUAUCCCACCAAUAAUAUAACCCAUCAAAAUCAAACCUUUACUCUUUAUUGUUUGUUUUUCCACAAGAAAAAUGGGUUCCUGCGAAAAGCUGUAAACCCCAUUUGCUAGUUUUUCAUUUUCUUGUGAUUCUUUGCUUUUUAUUGGGUUUUUAGGUUUUGUUUAGGGGGAGGGUGAUGGCUCAAAAUGGGCAGGGGAUAGAACCUGUAGUUCUUGAUGAUAUAAUCAACAGGAAUGCAUGAAUUGUUAGGCAGAUUCAGCUUUCAGCAUUGCCCGUGUAUGGAUUUUAUUUGCUUAUGUAGGGAUAGAACCUGCAGUUCUUGAUGAUAUAAUCAACAGGCUUUUGGAGUUUAGGAAUGCAAGAACUGUUAGGCAGGUUCAGCUUUCAGAAGCUGAGAUUCGAUCCGUCUGUACUGCUUCUAAAGAAAUCUUCCUUCAGCAGCCCAAUCUU